AAGGACUUGAAAAAGAGAGAGAGAGAGAGAGAGGUUAAGACGUUUACGGAACUAGGACAACUGAGGUCUGAUGAAAGAGAUCCUUCAUGACCAGUUGCCAUUUGUCCCUGGAAAAAAGUUUGGAAACUCUCAAUAGUUCCAGGAAAGCUCCUUACAUUGUGACCAGAGGAGGGGUGUGGGGUCUAUCCCUCCAUCACCCACCGGGCUUUCAUCACAUCCAGCCCCCUCAGAGGAGUCCCCAUCGGAGAGAACCAGGUCCUCAGAAGCUUGAGAAGAAUAUUUCACAAAUUCAGCGCCACCAUUUCCAAAGUCCCUCCCUUGCGCUGUGAUUGGCUGUUGCGGGUGGCUCAGGUGUGCUCUCAUUGGCUCGGUUUAACAUAAGGCUCCAGGUGAAAUAGCAAAGCUUCAGUCAUGCUUAAGGGUGCAAAGACACACACACACACACACACACAUAAUCAAAAACACAGCACAUACCGCACACACACACACACACAAAGAAAUGCAAAACUGCACCAAAUCUGAACCAGUGUUAAAUAGAAAUGACACU